rnacentral:lncRNA from 1 species
UGACUGGCAUUGCUUUAGGGUACUUGAGAAACUAGUAUAUAAUAGAGCAUGAUGCGCAACUAAGGUUCAACUCUCUCUGUGCUUUCAGUUCUUGCGCCUCUGCUACUUCUGUUUUCUGUAUUCUUCAAUUUCUUUAUUAGUUUAUUUCCUGUCUUUGGCAUAGAGUAGAUAGAUUAGAGAAACCAGUUUGUUUCGAUUAAUCUGAAUAAAUUGAUAGGAGUGAAUUAAGAUUGAUUGUUUUUUGAAAAAAAUGGCUCUGAAUCACGAGUCAACAGCAGGCGCCGGUUCAAUGGCGACCCGACUGCCGCAUAGAGCCUACACGAAAGGCCGGAUGAAGAUCCAUGAAACUCAAUUUUUUUCAUGUGUUUCAUGUCACAAUAAUCCGCCUAUAUUUCUAGAUUAUUUUAUUAUUUUAAAAAAGAAGUUAGAAUAUUUUGUUAGUGAGGAACACAGAACUUUAGCUUAAUAUUUGGCACUCAAGUCAGACACGGGUGUUUUAGGUCUUAUUAAUUGCCAAAUCACCUUUUGCACAGUGCCUAAAUGGAGAGCUACUUUUCACGAUUGGAGUGAGCUGUUUACUUGUUCGUGGCUUCCUUCAAAUUUUGAGUAGCGACAUUCUUUCAUCCUAUUUUUUAAAUGAUUUUCCUUUUAAUUGAAUUUUUUACUCUUUUACGAAAGAGAUUUUUAAAAUAUAAGUGUGUAUUAUUUGGUACAGUAACACAUGGAUUCUUUUGGACUUCUUUUGAAAUUUUUUCUUUUUUGGACAAAAUAGAUGUUUUCUGAGAGUNN